rnacentral:rRNA from 1 species
CAGUAGCCGCGGGAAUACGGAGGGUGCAAGCGUUAUCCGGAUUCACUGGGUUUAAAGGGUGCGUAGGCGGGCAGGUAAGUCAGUGGUGAAAUCUUCGAGCUUAACUCGGAAACUGCCGUUGAUACUAUCUGUCUUGAAUAACGUUGAGGUGAGCGGAAUAUGUCAUGUAGCGGUGAAAUGCUUAGAUAUGACAUAGAACACCGAUUGCGAAGGCAGCUCACUAAACGCUCAUUGACGCUGAGGCACGAAAGCGUGGGGAUCAAACAGGAUUAGAUACCCGUGUAGUCCCUGUCUCUUAUAC